GUUUUUGUAGUGUAAUUACACAUGUUCCUUUCAUGAACAAAAUAGAAUUUCUCAAAAAUA
rnacentral:tRNA from 1 species